GAUGAAGAACGCAGCGAAAUGCGAUAAGUAGCGUGAAUUGCAGAAUUCAGUGAAUCAUCGAAUCUUUGAACGCACAUUGCGGCCAUAGGUAUUCCUUUGGCCAUGCCUGUUCGAGCGUCAUUUACACCCUCAAGCCUAGCUUGGUGUUGGGCGUCUGUCCCGCCGUUCUCGCGCGCGGACUCGCCUCAAAGUCAUUGGCGGCGGUCGUGCCGGCCCCCUCGCGCAGCACAUUUGCGCUUCUCGGAGGCCCGGCGGAUCCGCGCUCCAGCAAGACCUUUCACGACUUGACCUCGGAUCAGGUAGGGAUACCCGCUGAACUUAAGCAUAUCAAUAAGCGGAGGA
rnacentral:misc_RNA from 1 species